rnacentral:rRNA from 1 species
UACGGGGGGGUAAGCGUUGUCCGGAUUUACUGGCGUAAAGAGCGCGCAGGCGGUCGAAUAAGUCGAAUGUGAAAGCCCCCGGCUUAACUGGGGAGGGUCAUUCGAUACUGCUCGACUUGAAGGCAGGAGAGGGAAGUGGAAUUCCCGGUGUAGUGGUGAAAUGCGUAGAUAUCAGGAGGAACACCGGUGGCGAAGGCGGGUCUCUGGGCCGUAACUGACGCUGAGGAGCGAAAGCAUGGGGAGCGAACAGG